UCAGUUGUUCAUAGAAAUUUGCAGCAGUCAAGCAAAUAGCUCAAGCCAUGUUGCAUUGCCUGAUUGUUUUGCUCGCUUUGCUUGGCCUGACCUUUGUGCUGCCGGUAAAUGGACAUUUAUUCUUAUCAAAUGAAGAGGAUGACGACGAUUUUGUGUUUGUGGAUCAUGAAAGGUGCACGCACUGUGCACAUAAUUAUAGAAAUUUCGUCUUCAUACUUGAUAGAAAGGAGCAAACAGAAGAGCCAUCCAAUUACUCGGCUGUGGUGCUAAUAUUGUGGAUAUUUUUAGGGGUGUUGUUGGCUAUUCAAUAUUGGAGAAGAAAAUAUAUUUAAUUAAUAGUUAAACUCGUUAGUUAGUGCUUGAAAGAGUAACAGAGUUGUGUACAAAUAAAUGGGAAAGCUUUUAGAGUUAA